GUAGGGGGCAAGCGUUGUCCGGAUUCAUUGGGCGUAAAGAGCGUGUAGGCGGCCAGGUAGGUCGGUUGUGAAAACUGGAGGCUCAACCUUCAGAGGUCGACCGAAACCAUCUGGCUAGAGUCCGGGAGAGGAGAGUGGAAUUCCUGGUGUAGCGGUGAAAUGCGCAGAUAUCGGGAAGAACACCCGUGGCGAAGGCGGCUCUCUGGGACGGUACUGACGCUGAGACGCGAAAGCGUGGGGAGCGAACAGGAUUAGAUACCCUGGUAGUCCACGCCGUAAACGAUGGGUGCUAGGUGUGGGGGGUGUCGACUCCCUCCGUGCCGAAGCUAACGCAUUAAGCACCCCGCCUGGGGAGUACGGCCGCAAGGCUA
rnacentral:rRNA from 1 species